CAAUAGCGUGUAUUAAAGUUGUUGCAGUUAAAAAGCUCGUAGUUGGAUUUCUGGUCGGAAGCUCCUGUCCUCUGAUGAGCGUACAAGUGCGUCCUACCAUCCUUCUGUUAACCUUUAAGGCUUUCGCGGCUUUCUAGGGGCUCAGAUAUUUUACCUUGAGAAAAUUAGAGUGUUUCAGGCAGGCUAGCGCCGGAAUACAUUAGCAUGGAAUAAUGGAAUAGGACUUUUGCCUCUUCUGUUGGUCAUGAGGCUCGAGUAAUGAUUAAUAGGGAUAGUUGGGGGCAUUAGUACUUAACUGUCAGAGGUGAAAUUCUCGGAUUUGUUAAAGACUAACUUAUGCGAAAGCAUUUGCCAAGGAUGUUUUCAUUAA
rnacentral:rRNA from 1 species